CCGCGAGGCGCGGGGUGCCGGAAUCUCCUCCACCGGCUGAGAGCACACCCGUCGAACCUGCCCUAGUUCGUACUAGCGAAGGAACGCCCAUGAGUGCGUAC
rnacentral:ncRNA from 2 species